AUACGGAGGGUGCAAGCGUUACUCGGAAUCACUGGGCGUAAAGCGCGCGCAGGCGGGCUGAUAAGUUGGAUGUGAAAGCCUACGGCUCAACCGUAGAACUGCAUCCAAAACUGUCAGUCUAGAGUGUGGGAGAGGAAGAUGGAAUUAGUUGUGUAGGGGUAAAAUCCGUAGAGAUAACUAGGAAUACCAAAAGCGAAGGCAAUCUUCUGGAACACUACUGACGCUGAGGCGCGAAGGCGUGGGGAGCAAACAGGAUUAGAUACCCGAGUAGUCC
rnacentral:rRNA from 1 species